CACCACCUCGCUGCUCCCUGACCACAGACAGUGGCAGGGCCUGGGGGAAGCACCCGUGGUGCUGCUGCCGUGACCCCACGGGGCGCUCGCCUCUCCCCAGGCCCUCACAAGGCACUGCGGUUCCUCCCAGAGGCGCGGUCCCUUCUCGCCUGGCCCAGGAUGUGGCCUCUGCAGGCUCAGCCACCCCCUGGCCCUACAGAAGCACCCCGCUGAGGGCAGUGGGGGUGGCGGUGGCGGGGGGAGCAUCCUGCUGUGCCCUUCCUGCCUUAUAUCCUGGGUCACCUCCACGGGAGCCGAGCGAGCAGCAGCAGCCCCCUCCCAGGAAUAACAACAUCCUUCGAGUCAAAUGGUUUUUUUAUUGCAGGGCUUGAAAGCCACUUAAACCAUGAGCCCCGCGUCGGGGUCCCACACGGAGCCUCUUAGCAGGGGGCACGCAGCAUUUGGCUGACACCAGCAAACAGCAGCCGGCACCUGCUGGCCCCCGCUGCGUGGGGCCGUGCUGCUGAGCCCAACACCUCCUGCCUGGCUCUGGCAGGAGCCUCAGCAGCGCUGCCAGCCCCUCUGAGCCCCCUCCUCAGCCCCCAGGUGUGCAGGGCGCAGGUGUCUUCAUCUACCUGCAUCUCGCCCUGGGGAGUGAGGGGGCAGCGCUGAAUUUAAACACCCAGGAGAAGGCAGAGAGGAGGAUGAGGGAUUUUCCUCGAAGCGUGGGGAGGGGAUGAUUUGCUGCACUUUUCCCCUCUGCCCUGGGUGGUGCGUGUGCCCCAAAGCCCCCCUGCGGGCUGCGUGGGCUCCGGCAGCGCUCAGAGGUAGGGUUUUGGUGUGGCGGUACAGGGGGUGCCUGGUCCUGCCUGUUUCUCCAGGGCUCAGUUCUCGGUUCCCCCAGCUGCGAGGUGCAGGCGUGCUCCUGGCCAGGCUCCCAGCCGCUCCCUCCAGGUGUACAGCUCCAGCAUUCCUGCCCGGACAGUGCCCCGCUCAGGUGAGUGCAACGGGUGGAUUCAGUUUCCAUCCCCUGCAGUUCUUUGGGGGCAUGCUGAGAUUUUCUUCUUCCUCUCUGAUUUUUACUGAAGAGGGAAAAAUUUGGUGCCUCUGUAAAGGAGAGUCAGAGAGAGUAGCGUUCAGCCACACAGCUCGGCACAGAGCAGGGCUCACUUUUGGUUUCUUUCCCUCGUGUUGGAAAAUGAGACCGUGCAGGAGAACUGCAGCAGCGCUUUGCAGGAGAAGCCUCCUGCCCCCUGGCACUGCUGCUCCUCCAGCUCUGAUCCGGGGGCCUCGCAAAGCACCGGGAGCUCUGUUACACCCUCACCGGCCGUGCUGAGGGGAGAGCUGCGUGGAAAUGCUGAUACAGAGCAGAAGGGGGUGACCAGGCCUGAUCUCUGUUAUGCUGUGGGGUUCAUCCCUGUGCAGGCUCUGUUCUCACUGGGCAGCCUCUGCGCUCCCACAGCCUGGUUUUAGCUCUAAUUUACCACCUCCAAGGGGCUCUGUGGAGAGCGAGCUUGUCCAGAGCAGCUCAGCCCCCAGCCAGCACAAGGCACAGGGGUGAUUUGAAAAUUGUGGGUGAGAACAGCAGACCAGUACAGCCCAUUUUUUAACCCAUCUGCCCCUCCCGAGGAGACUCCUGAUGCCGCGUGCUUUGUGCUGAGAGCAGCUCCGCACUGAGCAGUGUGAGGCUGCAUCUGAACUGCUGGGGAUGCUCACAAACGAGAUCUGCGUUAUGGUUAGAAAACAAACAAACAACAAAGCAGAUGCAGGAUAAAUGAUGUUAUGUUGCUAAAAGAAAUGAGCCAGACUGUCUUCCAGCCCUGCAGACGCUUUCUUUGCCCUCCCGAGGUGUGUGGGUAGAGGUACUGCCCCGCACAAGGGCAGCUGUCUCCUGCCACGCGUGGCCAGCUUGGCUGCUCUUUUGGGAAGGAAAGGAGGGCAGCCCCUGGCCCAAAGGCUGCCGGUCUCGCAUGGAGCCUGGCCCCAAGUCUCUCAUCCUUGGCUUCAUCCUGCCCGUAUGGCUGUUAAUGGUCCUGCCCUGCCUCCAUCCUCAGGGACUAAUUGCCUCACACUUGAGCAAAUGUGCUCGGUGUUUAAAAGGAGCCUAUCGAUCGGUGAGUGUUCCUGAAAGCCUCCCAGGGCCCCGUUUCCUUUGAAGUGUAAAAGCAUCUGUCUGUCUGUCUGUCUCUCUGCUUUGCCAGCAGCCUCCUGCUCCGUUUUGCAUCCCCAGCUACAGGGGUGCAUCCCGGGGACCUGCCCCCGGCCCCACACCGUGCUCGGGGCUCCCUGCUGCAGGAAGAUGGGGCUCGAAGACACAGGUACAAACCCCAAUCCAGGUGGGGUGCUGAGCUCAGGACCAAGCUCCUUCUGAAGGCCGAUUUCCAGUACCCCAAGCUUUGGGAAUGCCCUUGCUAUGCUCGGGGCAGAAGCUGAUCGUGCAUUCGUCUGCAGUGCUUAGAAAGGAGAAGAAAUGGCCCCAGCAUUUUCCCGUCGUGGUGCUCAGCUUCUCCUGCCAGCACCACUCAGAAAGGAAACAAGGAGGAGUGAGCAAGGCUGCGUGGAGCUGGAGAGCUGCUGAAUGGCCUGGAGGGGCCCCAAACAUCCACACUUCAGGCAGAUGCACCUCUCGCACCCUGGGACUCCUCACCCCAGAGCAACCAGAGAAGGCGAGGAGGAGCAGCGCAUGUGGAAGCUGUGCUGUGGCCGUUCCCUCACACACUGGAGACUUGGGCUUGGCAAUUUGCUGGCUGAGGAGGGAGCUGCAUCCACGCCUCCUGCACUCUG